rnacentral:rRNA from 1 species
UACGUAGGGGGCGAGCGUUGUCCGAAGUUACUGGGCGUAAAGCGCGCGUAGGCGGGGAAUUAAGUGAGAAGUGAAAGGCUGGGGCUCAACCUCAUGCAGUGCUUCUCAUACUGGUUCUCUUGAGGGCGGUAGGGAGAAGUGGAAUGGCUGGUGUAGCGGUGAAAUGCGCAGAUAUCAGGAGGAACACCGGUGGCGAAGGCGGAUCUCUGGGCCAUUACUGACGCUGAGGAGCGAAAGCGAGGGGAGCAAACGGG